rnacentral:rRNA from 1 species
UACGUAGGGGGCAAGCGUUGUCCGGAUUUAUUGGGCGUAAAGCGUGUGCAGGCGGCUUAUCAAGUGGUGUAUGAAAUAUCCAGGCUCAACCUGGAGGGGUUAUGCCAGACUGGUAGGCUAGAGUGCGAGAGAGGGGCGUGGAAUUCCGGGUGUAGUGGUGAAAUGCGUAGAGAUCCGGAGGAACCCCAGAGGCGAAGGCGGCGCCCUGGCUCGACACUGACGCUCAGACACGACAGCAUGGGGAGCGAACGGG